CACCCCUAAGGAGAGCAGCCGUCUUCCUUCCUGUCCUGAGCAGGAAUAAACAAAGACUGCACAAACCCUUGCAGCGGGGUCGGGGCUGUUAUCUCCACCCCAGCCAUCCCCUCAUGUCAUGGCGCCUGCUGUUUCCACAACAUCUCCUGCUGAGAAGAUGACCCCAGGUAAAAUCUGAUCGAACAACAGUGGCUGCCUUCAUCAAGGGAGCCUGGAGAGCAAACAGCAGAAAAACAGUCAUCUGGCAACAUGUUGCAGGAAAAAGACAUUACAAAAGAAUAACGAGCUUGAGGACUGGGGAGAGGAGUUCACAUUUAUGGUGAGUCCGUGCAAGAAGACCCUCCGACAGGUACCUGUCACCCCCGCGGAGACACUGAUUGCAGCCUGUUCUGAAGCGUCACUGAAAUAGAAACCAAGUCAAAGCCGUGGCCUAGAAAGAGAGUCUGGGCAGAAUUCUGCAAGCAGAUUCUUUAUUUGACUCCUGGAAUAGACACAUGGAAAGAAGAUGGACACUGAAGGAAACUCAAAUCCAUGUGUGGCCAAAUGAACUCAGGGGAGUGCAACUUACUUACAAGGAGAGGGAGGAUGUACAGCAGGUCCUAGAAUAAUGUUGUUUCUUUCAAUAUCAUUUUGUUAUAAUGUUGAAAUCCA